rnacentral:rRNA from 1 species
GACGAACGCUGGCGGCGUGCUUAACACAUGCAAGUCGAACGGAAAGGCCCCUUUGGGGGUACUCGAGUGGCGAACGGGUGAGUAACACGUGAGUAACCUGCCCUUGACUUCGGGAUAACUUCAGGAAACUGGGGCUAAUACCGGAUAGGAAUCCUUGCUGCAUGGUGGGGGUUGGAAAGCUUCGGCGGUUUUGGAUGGACUCGCGGCUUAUCAGCUUGUUGGUGGGGUAGAGGCUUACCAAGGCUUUGACGGGUAGCCGGCCUGAGAGGGCGACCGGCCACAUUGGGACUGAGAUACGGCCCAGACUCCGACGGGAGGCAGCAGUGGGGAAGAUUGCACAAUGGGCGGAAGCCUGAUGCAGCAACGCCGCGUGCGGGAUGACGGCCUUCGGGUUGUAAACCGCUUUCAGCAGGGGCGAAGCUUGUGGUGACGGUACCUGCAGAAGAAGCACCGGCUAACUACGUG